rnacentral:rRNA from 1 species
UACGGAGGGAGCUAGCGUUGUUCGGAAUUACUGGGCGUAAAGCGUACGUAGGCGGUUAUUCAAGUCAGAGGUGAAAGCCCGGGGCUCAACCCCGGAACUGCCUUUGAAACUAGAUAGCUAGAGUCUUGGAGAGGUUAGUGGAAUUCCGAGUGUAGAGGUGAAAUACGUAGAGAUUGGGAAGAACACCAGUGGCGAAGGCGGCUAUCUGGACGGUUUCUGACGCUAAGACGCGAAAGCGUGGGGAGCAAACAGG